GGUAACAGGAAACAGCUUGCUGUUUCGCUGACGAGUGGCGGACGGGUGAGUAAUGUCUGGGAAACUGCCUGAUGGAGGGGGAUAACUACUGGAAACGGUAGCUAAUACCGCAUAACGUCGCAAGACCAAAGAGGGGGACCUUCGGGCCUCUUGCCAUCGGAUGUGCCCAGAUGGGAUUAGCUAGUAGGUGGGGUAACGGCUCACCUAGGCGACGAUCCCUAGCUGGUCUGAGAGGAUGACCAGCCACACUGGAACUGAGACACGGUCCAGACUCCUACGGGAGGCAGCAGUGGGGAAUAUUGCACAAUGGGCGCAAGCCUGAUGCAGCCAUGCCGCGUGUAUGAAGAAGGCCUUCGGGUUGUAAAGUACUUUCAGCGGGGAGGAAGGGAGUAAAGUUAAUACCUUUGCUCAUUGACGUUACCCGCAGAAGAAGCACCGGCUAACUCCGUGCCAGCAGCCGCGGUAAUACGGAGGGUGCAAGCGUUAAUCGGAAUUACUGGGCGUAAAGCGCACGCAGGCGGUUUGUUAAGUCAGAUGUGAAAUCCCCGGGCUCAACCUGGGAACUGCAUCUGAUACUGGCAAGCUUGAGUCUCGUAGAGGGGGGUAGAAUUCCAGGUGUAGCGGUGAAAU
rnacentral:rRNA from 1 species